CCCAAAAAAGCAAAAAACCCCUUUCCCCCCACAAAUGUGAGAGUUGUUUUACUUUGAUAGUGGUAAUUCAUUGGAGGUGGUAGGUUGAUUUAAAAAUGACUAGCUUGUGAAAUGGUUUCUGAGCCUCACAGAUCAAAGAUGCUAUGGCAGGAGCAGUAGAACAACAACCAGUUGGCUUGGAAAGAUUGUAAUGGUAAAUAUUCACAGUUAAGACAAACAUUUCUUUUUUUAUGAGAAAAGGGAACAGUUACGAAAUCUGGAGUAUCAUGCAAAAAUAUUUGGAACUUCACUAGGUUUCACAAACUUAAAAUAAUUUCAGAAAUGGAAAAUUCUGAUCAACAGUGGGAUAAAAUACCAAGCAAAUUUAAAAGAAAUCUUAUUGUUUGAAGGUCUCCUCCCGAGUUAGCUAUUUAGUUUGGUAUAGUGUUUUGAUUAAUGAGUCACCAGUUAAAAAGAUACUAAUAUAUAGAAUGUGUCUCCACAGAUCAUUUAUUUCAAAGAGACUCUAAAAACAGUGAACUUCUUUUAGAUGCAGAGUUUCUGAGAUAUAUUCAAAAAGAAAAAACUGGCCAGUUGUAAAAUGCUCCUACUAGUGAAGCCAAGAAAUAUGAAUAAAAAAGGAAUGUGAGGAGAACUUGUUCACUUAAAGUUCUGCUGCUUGAUUUGAGAGCCAUCAGGUGCAUUGCCAAGGAUGGACUGGAGAAGGUUUUGGCAGCACUGUCCCACAUCCCUGGGAUACUGGGGAGAAACCAGAUAGGAAGCCUAACCUUGGCUAUAGCACAAGAUUGAAAAGGAGAUAACCAAAGGCCACGUUCUCCUCUCACUUCUAGGACUUCAUUAGAGCAUAUUUCUGUCUUAUGCUGGGUACCAGUGGCAGCUAUCUAUUCUAUUUUCUGGUAAGUAGGGAUAAUGCUUACCUGAUUAACAAGGGUUUUCUGAGGGCUCAUUACCUGAUGUUUGAAAACUGCUUGGAGGUCUUCAGAUGGAAGAAAACAUUUGAGUAUUAAGUAUCAUUUUUCCAGACCUCAAAGUAGGUCAUGUACUUGAAGCCACAUUAACGAUCAUGUAGAGUGAAGUGGUUCCACAGAAAUAAAAGCUAAACAGCCAAGCAUGAAAGUAAAAGCAAGGAAGAAUGUUAGUCUAAACUUGUAACAAGUCCUUCUUAGUAGAAGUCGUCAAUUAUUAAAAAUGGUACGUUUUAAACUAACCCCCAAAAUCUACAGCAUGUACUUACACAGAAGCUGUCAUAUUUAAUAGGUCCAUGCUUGAACUAUGUAAACUAUAGCAUAAGGCUUUCAAUUACACCCUUGGAUUUGAGCUGUGCGAAUAUUUAAAGCAAAUAUCUCCAUUUCCUUGUGUUCACACUACUUUUAUGCUUUCUUCCCAUAAACAUUUAAAGAAUUGUGUUUUAUUAGCACAUUUGCUAUCAGGAACUGAUAUAUUAACCUUACAUGUGUGUAUUGUCACAUCAGAGAGCUUUCUAAAAGGGCCAAUCAAAGAAUGGCAACAGCACCAUGUGACUUAAGUUACAAAUACAGUUAAUUAGUACAAUGUGAAUUUUGAAUGCCCUCAGCAACUUGUUACCAGUCAAUACACAGGAAAUGUAUGGGAAUACACACACAGAAAACCCCAUGGUGAAUCAACUGAACAGAAAAUAAAUUAGAGAUAAUCACAACCUACUAAUUAGCAUUCUGCAAAAGAAGAAGAAACACAGUGAUGUUUGUCAAGUAAUUUAUUGAAAUUGUGCAAUAUGCUCAGAUCUAGCACUAUUCCAGGACUCAUUUAGCAGUCCAAGUCUAUUUCUAGCAAGCAAGCAUUAGAAAACCAAAAGCUUGCCAUGAAAUUGUCAUUCUCUAUCUUUCAAAAGCUACUUCAGACUUUAAAAAUUGUUUACAUAUGAAAUGACUUUGUUCAAAAGUCCCAAAAUAAAAAGUUAGGUGGGCGAUGGAGGUGCUACGACAUUGUGAAAGGAACUGAUGUGGAAAUACUGUUGUAUUACUGACUCAAGGGAGGGGAAAUAAUAUUAUAUUUGAGUAAUUAUUGGGUCUGAGUACCAAUGCCAAGGUGUCAGUAGCUAAGAAGGAACAAUUGAUUGAGUGGGAGGAUGAAUAGUAAAUGUGUCAGCAUGCAGAAAUGACAUCUGGCACUGCAGCAGAUUUGUCACUACAGGGUAUAGUUUGCAUAUUAAGAUUCAUAGUAAGACAUGUAGCAAACUACCUGUAACUUGAAUCUCAAACUUAAUUUCUUAAACUUAAUUUGUUGUGACCAUAUAAAUCAACUUUCAGCAGGAUGGCUAUGACUGAACAUGAAUAAUAAAUGGUGUAUAUCUCUAAUGAAAAUUUCCAAAUAGAGUUUAGGAGAAGAGCUAGAAUAGAAAACUAUUUUCAAAUGUAAAUCAUAAAGUUAGGGAGUUUUGUUUGAAAACAUUGGCUAAUGUUGUGAUUAUGCCAUACAGAAAUUAACCAACCUAGCUCAAAGAGAGUUAUUCACAUAGUUAGUUACGCUAGUGGAGGGAUUAGGUUCAUAGGGAUGAGGUUCAUUAUGUACGGAAUUGUCCUCAAAGCAACGUCUUGGUGUGUGAAGUUACCAUUCAGAGCUAUGUUUAUCAUCUGUCAUUACUUUCCAUAACUCACAUAAAUGCUUAUCAAUUGAAUCAGAACCAUUUUUUUUGGAAAUGAGCUGAAUAUAUUAAAUAAAAGCUGUUGAGCAUGUUUGGUUUUUUUAA